GCUUCGGUAGCUCAGUUGGUAGAGCACUUGCCCGUGAAAGGCAAAGGUCCCGAGUUCGAGUCUCGGUCGGGCGCA
rnacentral:tRNA from 1 species